GGAUUAUUCAUCAGCAGAGAUUUUUCCAGGCACCUAAAAAUUAUGGGCAUCUAAUAUUUAUUCAAAUGAGGAAAAGUUAACGAUCCAUUUUUCAUCUGAGGACAACUCAAAGCAACAUCUUCUUCCAGCCACCUUAGGGAUAUAUACAGAAGGACUUACAUCUCCGUUCUUGACAUUUUGGGAUGUUUCUGGUUUCCAGUGGAGAAUAGUAUAGAAGGCCUCAGCUUUGCACACCUCCAGUGUUUGGAGAGCUAGACAUUGUGAAAGGUGCAGCACUGGCAGAUGCACUGCCAUUCUGGUGCAGAAGACAGAGACCCUGGGAGGGCUCUGGGGCCCUUCACUCCUCUCUCAGCGAGUCGUGUGCCUUAUCACAAGAUGUAAUCAAGUUUGGAAGAACUCUCUUUUGAAUAACUAGAAAGUUUUUUGKUUUUUUUUCCCCCCAAGACAUUAUUGUAUUACCUGUGAUUGUAUGAGUAAGUUUGUUUCACUAUGAACAUAUCAAACUUGGAUAUGACAGCACUGGUUACUUAUGAAGUAAAUAUGCAAAAGGUAAGUGACUAGAAAUAUCUCCCAUUUUAAUUCUUCUAUCAGUAAAAGCUUGCUAGACCUUACUUACUAAUACAGCUGAGCAUAAAUUAGGAUAAUUAAAU
rnacentral:lncRNA from 1 species